GACGAACGCUGGCGGCGUGCCUAAUACAUGCAAGUAGAACGCUGAAGGAGGAGCUUGCUUCUCUGGAUGAGUUGCGAACGGGUGAGUAACGCGUAGGUAACCUGCCUGGUAGCGGGGGAUAACUAUUGGAAACGAUAGCUAAUACCGCAUAAUAGUAGAUGUUGCAUGACAUUUGCUUAAAAGGUGCAAUUGCAUCACUACCAGAUGGACCUGCGUUGUAUUAGCUAGUUGGUGGGGUAACGGCUCACCAAGGCGACGAUACAUAGCCGACCGGAGAGGGUGAUCGGCCACACUGGGACUGAGACACGGCCCAGACUCCUACGGGAGGCAGCAGUAGGGAAUCUUCGGCAAUGGACGGAAGUCUGACCGAGCAACGCCGCGUGAGUGAAGAAGGUUUUCGGAUCGUAAAGCUCUGUUGUAAGAGAAGAACGAGUGUGAGAGUGGAAAGUUCACACUGUGACGGUAUCUUACCAGAAAGGGACGGCUAACUACGUG
rnacentral:rRNA from 1 species